UCCUUCCUGAAGCUGCACCUUCGGUUGAAGAGAACACCCUUCCCACUAGAGGAGGACUGUUCUUUAGUCAAGCAUAUCCAAGAAGCUGCACUUUUCUGCUAGAACCUCCCCAGGGUCUCAUCCAACCGGUUGAGGUGCAGGUGGGAGUCCUGGC
rnacentral:sRNA from 1 species